UGACCUCGGAUCAGACGUGAUUACCGCUGAAUUUAAGCAUAUUAUUAAGCGGGAGGAAAAGAAACUAACCAGCGAUUCCCCUAAGUAACGGCGAGCGUGAACGUGAACGACCCAGGAAGACCCAACACCGAAUCCCUUGCGCAAGUCAACGGGAAAUGUGACGUGUUAAGGUAGCCCUUCGUGUCAGUCUAGGCGUCUCAACGCUCCAACCUGAUGUGGCUUCAAGCCCAGAGAGGGUGUAAGGAAGGCCCGUUUAGAGACGCUUCCGACUGAUUCCUGGGGUUUACCUACGAGUCGGCUGUUGGAGAAUGCAGGCGCAAAGCGGCGUGUAAAACUCCACUCUCAAGGGCUAAAUACUGGGCCACGAGUCGCGAAUAGCGUACCAAAGUACCGUAAGAUAGGGAAAUGGCACUUGAGUCAACGAUAGAGCGCUUUGAAGAGACGAGUUGGAACAAUAGUACGUAAAGAAACCGCUGAAUGAGAGAGUAAGCAAAACGGAUACGUGAAUACCGCACUUAGAGUUGGCCUGAAAGGAAUCACUGUGCUCAUGGAACUGUGCCUCGAGCUGCGCGUUCAACAUGUGCGGUCUGGCUGGACGAGCUGGCGUUCGGAAUCUCUCUUUUGGGACGGGCGUCGGUUUGGCUAUCAGCUCCGACACAUCGGUGCACUUUCCUUAGUGGUGCCUCCGCCACGACCGACGACACUGGCUACCCGCGGGUGGGGUAAGGUGACAAACUGCUUCGGCAAUUUGGUGUUAUAGACCCCGGCGUCGGACAUGGUUUGGCCAGGGACGUCGAGCUUGCCGGCGCCCGCUCCUUGUGGGCUCGCCAUGUUGGCCUAGCUUGGCUGCCGCCGAUGCUUGCACUGGACAACCAGUACAGGUGACGGUGUGUGGUCUUGUCUCUAGUUGGCCUCUGCGAGUUUGGCGCCUAUAGUCUGUGGUGUACUUGUGGGUAGACUAUCCGACCCGUCUUGAAACACGGACCAAGGAGUCUAACAUGUGCGCGAGUCAUGGGGAUUCUACGAAAAACCCAAAGGCGCAGUGAAAGUAAAGGCCUGCUUCUCGUAGGCUGAGGUGGAUCUCGUGCAUCGCGAUUGGCGAGCGCACGCACCGGCCCGUCCUAUCUGUCUCUGUGCAGUGGGGGCGGCGCAAGAGCGUACACGUUGGGACCCGAAAGAUGGUGAACUAUGCUUGCGCAGGCUCGAAGUCAGUGGAAAACACUGAUGGAGGGAGCGCCAGCGUUUCUGACGUGCAAAUCGAUCGUCAAACGUGAGUAUAGGGGCGAAAGAGCUAAUCGAACCAUCUAGUAGCUGCGUUCCUCCGAAAAGUUUCCCCUCAGCGAUAGCUGGCACUCGGGAAACAGUUUUAUCCGGUAAAGCGAAUGAUUUAGAGGCAUUGGGGUCGAAACGACCUCGACCUAUUCUCAAACUUUAAAUGGUAAGAUGCUCGUCUCGCUUAAUGGAGGCGGGCUUCACCUCUCUAACGUGAACUGUGAAGUGCCCAGUGGGCCAUUUUUGGUAAGCAGAACUGCGCGCUGUGGGAUGAACCAAAACGCGCGUUAAGGCGCCAAUGCGGAGCGCUCAUGAGACACCAACAAAAGGUGUUGCGUCGAUUACUGACAGCAGGACGGUGGCCAUUUGGAAGUCGGAAACCGCUAAGGAGUGUGUAACAAGCUCACCUGCCGAAUCAACCAGCUGAAAAUGCGAUGCGCUUGGAGCGUCGGGCCUAUACCGUGCCGUUUGGGGCGAAGCAGACAAAUAAUCUGUGUGUGAUGUCCCAACGAGUAGGAGGGUCGCCGUGGUGUGAGCGCAGAAGGUGCGGCCGUGAGGCCGGCUGGAGCCGCCACGGGCGCAGAUCUUGGUGUAGUAGCAAUUUACUCAAGUGAGAAACCUUGAGGACUGAAGUGGAAAGGGUUCCAUGUGAACAGCAGUUGAACAUGGGUCAGGCGUCCUAAGCGAUCGCGGGUAACUCCGUCCGUACCUAGACGAGGGUGAGCAACUAUCACUUAAACUAAAUUGUGACGUGUUAUAGCCCCCGGAGCGAAAGGGAAUCGUGUUAAUAUUCACUCGAACCUUACGCGUGGAGAUCGCCUUUCGGGGGCAAGUGCGGUAACGGCAAACGAACACAGAAGACGCUCGCUGGAGCCCCGGGCAAGAGUUUCUCUUUUCUUUGUAAGGAGCGUACCCCCUGAAUCGGUCUUGUCCGGAGAUAGGGGCGUGCGUAGGCUUCCGCUAAAGCAGCGCCGCGGUCUUGCGCUGUCCGGUCCGCACUCUAGUCGGCCCCUUGAAAAUCUGUGGGAGACAGUGUGAUUUUCACGUAAGGUAGGCCGUACCCAUAUCCGCAGCAGGUCUCCAAGGUGAACAGCCUGCUAGUCCUAGAACAAUGUAGGUAAGGGAAGUCGGCAAAAUGGGAUCCCGUAACUCGGAAAAAGGAUUGGCUCUCGAGGCUGGGUCGGAUGGGGCUGGCAGUAAGAAGCGUGUUCCGGUUUGGUGAGGACUGGGCGACAGGCUUUCCGGCGUUUACUCGGACCAUGCCGAGACCAGGCAGUAGAGACGACGUCAGCUGUGCUUGGUCGUGUGUAUUUCGGCGCGCAGCUUCGUCUCCGGCAACAAAACAGUCAGCUAACUCAAGAACUGCACGCGACUAGGGCAAUCCGACUGUCUAAUUAAAAACAAACGCGACUGUCUAAUUAAAACAAAGACAUUGCGAUGCUGUUGCUCGUGUUGACGCAAGUUGUGAUUUCUGACAGAGUGCUGCUGGAAUGUCAAAAGUGAAAGAAAUUCCAAUCAAGCGGGGCGGUAAAACGAUCUCGCGGGAGUAACUAUGACUCUGCUUAAAGGUAGUCCAAAUGCCUGCGUCAUCUAAUAUAGUGAACGCGCAAUGAAUGGAUUAACGAGCAUUCCUCACUGUCCCUAAUCUACUAUCUAGCGAAACCACAGGCCAAGGGAACGGGCUGGCAAAUCAGUCGCGCGGAAAGAGGGAGACCCUGAUUGAGCUUAAGACUCUAGUCGCGAACUUUGUGAAGA
rnacentral:ncRNA from 1 species